GACGACAUUUCUCCCUUAAAACAAAACGAAAUCCAAGAAAAACCUUAUUUGCAGUUGCUUUUCGCAUGACUGGAUGAACAUUAUUUAAGUGCUGCUCUUGGAAAGAGAUCAUCUCUCUACGUGUGCUGUACGAGUUAUGGUUUAUGAAGCAGCAACCAUGAUGCAAGGAGGAAUUUGUCUGAUCAGAGACAAAAUUACCAUUGCUUGAAAGAGCAGCAUUCCUUCUGUGUCCUCGAGUUAAUUGAUGCAGUAAUUUCAUCCCCAAGCUGCCGCUCACAUUCCGUGUAAUGGCUGUCUUGAAAGACUUCUGAUUGAGAUGGGGAGGGAGUAGUAAAGUUGCUCUGUUAAUUGCAAAGCCUGGAAUGUGUUUAAAAGGAGAAAACCAUCGUGUGCUGAAGGCAUCAGAGAAGCGACUGCAAUUAAGCUAUCCUCCCUCCUGAAGUGAGGCCCAGGUACCUCCACGAAGCAUAAAUGCUUAGUAAAUGCAGAAUUCUAUCUCAGUUCCAGAGAUUGAACCAGAGGCUGCAGUCCACUGAGAUCUGAAGCACCUUUCCAACACAUCAUAUCUUGAGCAGUUUGGAUCUGGGUAAACUGUCCAAAAGAAAGAGAAGACAUGUGUCAGAAACUGAUGGCCCAGGCUUAUCUGUGAGCAAUGUAUCUCUGAGAUCUGAGAAACCUAUAGAUGAAGAAUUCAGUAAAUUUGCUUUGCAUCUAAUGUCGUAAACAACAGAAGUUAGUUCUUGUGAUCUGGAAAUGACUAAAUAAGGCAAGGGUGAACAGGAAAGAACACCAAGCCAGGACUUGAAACAGUCUAAUGUCUAAUCAGUCCAAUGUCUAAUCCAAUGCUGAGUGUGACUUUUGAUGAAUCAUUUCCUUCCUGAACCAUACUAUCCCAAGGAACCAAAUAAAAUAAGUAAUUUCUCAACUGUCUUCCAAGGUUUAACAUUCUUCGCAAUCGGUGAUUCCUGAAAAUAUAUGUUUGGCCUCGUUUCCUCCAUCUUUUGAAGAUAAUAAUGGUGACACAAAUUGUGAAAAGGAGACCAUGUCAACUAGUAAAAUAAAGUGAACAGUUCAAACUUG